AACGGCCAUACCUACUGAAUAUACCGGUUCUCGUUAGAUCACCGAAGUCAAGCAUCAUUGGGCGUGGUCAGUACUUGGGUGGGUGACCACCUGGGAACACCGCGUGCCGUU